AACGAACGCUGGCGGCAGGCUUAACACAUGCAAGUCGAACGAUGUAGCAAUACAUAGUGGCGCACGGGUGAGUAACGCGUGGGAAUAUACCUUAUAGUGGGGAAUAACUUCGGGAAACUGAAGCUAAUACCGCAUACGCCCGAGAGGGGAAAGAUUUAUCGCUAUAAGAUUAGCCCGCGUGAGAUUAGGUAGUUGGUGGGGUAAUGGCCUACCAAGCCGACGAUCUCUAGCUGGUCUGAGAGGAUGAUCAGCCACACUGGAACUGAGACACGGUCAGACUCCUACGGGAGGCAGCAGUGGGGAAUAUUGGACAAUGGGCGAAAGCCUGAUCCAGCCAUGCCGCGUGAAUGAUGAAGGCCUUAGGGUUGUAAAGUUCUUUCGCCGAUGAAGAUAAUGACGGUAGUCGGAGAAGAAGCCCCGGCUAACUUCGUGCCAGCCGCCGCCGUAA
rnacentral:rRNA from 1 species